rnacentral:rRNA from 1 species
UGGCUCAGAACGAACGCUGGCGGCGUGCUUAACACAUGCAAGUCGAGCGGUAAGGCCUCUUCGGGGGUACACGAGCGGCGAACGGGUGAGUAACACGUGGGUGACCUGCCCCCUACUCUGGGAUAAGCCUGGGAAACUGGGUCUAAUACUGGAUAUGACCUCAUGUCGCAUGGUGUGGGGUGGAAAGUUUUUUCGGUGGGGGAUGGGCCCGCGGCCUAUCAGCUUGUUGGUGGGGUGAUGGCCUACCAAGGCGACGACGGGUAGCCGGCCUGAGAGGGCGACCGGCCACACUGGGACUGAGAUACGGCCCAGACUCCUACGGGAGGCAGCAGUGGG